UACGAAGGGGGCUAGCGUUGCUCGGAAUUACUGGGCGUAAAGGGCGCGUAGGCGGAUAUCUAAGUUGGGGGUGAAAUCCCGGGGCUCAACCUCGGAACUGCCUUCGAUACUGCGGGUCUCGAGUCCGGGAGAGGUGAGUGGAAUUCCUAGUGUAGAGGUGAAAUUCGUAGAUAUUAGGAAGAACACCAGUGGCGAAGGCGGCUCACUGGCCCGGUACUGACGCUGAGGCGCGAAAGCGUGGGGAGCAAACAGG
rnacentral:rRNA from 1 species